CCAUACAUCGUGCGAUAUGGGCUAAGAAGAUAACUACCGUGAAAAAAGAGAUCGAUCUCUCACCUCUAAACCUAGCGCCGCCAUGCCACGCCGCCUCCUUUGCCAAGCUCCUCUCCUUCCUACACCGGACUCGCCAUCGUAGGUCCACCGCCAUGCGCUCGCCGGCCGCCAGCAGCAGCCCCGGGGACGCUGUCCUCCUGGUGGCGGCCCAGCCUCAGGAACACGGUGAUUUGGAGGCCAUGAGGGAUCCUGCGAUCGAGCGCACAAGGCCUGGUCACUGGAUCUUUAGCAACAGCUUGGCCAGUUCAUCGUAGAUUACGGACACUCACGUAUGCAGGUGUUUGACAAACAACCUCUGAGAAUACCCUGAUAAUACAAGAUGGUCAGUGUUCUUUACGAACCUUUCUUUUUCAUGCGGUUAAUAAUUAAAGCUCGUGUAUCAACUAUCAAAGCACCUCAUUCCCACCAUAAAUGAAAAUGAGAAUUUUGCGCCCAUGUUCUAAUAUUUUCUGGAAUAAACAUGCCUUCUACUAUCAUACAUGUAGUUUCUCAUCUGCAGAAACUUUUCUCAUGUUAUCUGAUAAAGAGCGCUCCCUGGAUGGAUAUAUUAUCAUGUUUGGUAAGAUUUAAUCAUAUAUGCUUAUGUGAAACGUCUGGGUCACGUGCCUUGCACUAUGUCUGGAGCAGCUAAAUGGUGUGAUGCUCACUUAUGUAGAUUUUGUAUUAGACUGAAGAUUAUUAAGGUGAACUACCAUGAGAAUUUAGUCUUUUAAUGGUAAACUAUCAUCCUAUGUAGAGCUAGUAUUAAGGCUUAGAUAUUAUUGGUGUCAACAACCAUGAGAACUCAGUCCCUGUAUGUUAAACUGCUGUUAUUUCUGUACAUAUACUUCUUUGUAAAUUGUUGUUAUUUUUUCUUACAAAUAUACUUCAUGCAUUCUCACCUUAGCGAAUCCAUCAAUUACAUCAAGAUUUAUCUCUCUUUUUACAGUAUGUCUCUACACUUCAUAUGGUUACAUGACAUCUACCAAACUAGAUUGAACUUCUGCAGUGCAUGUUUACCUCGAUGUGAAAAAACAUCUAUGUACGAAUUUUAAAGGCAGCAACCACAAGGAUAAACUAGAGAGGCAGAGAAAACAAGGAUCUAUUGUUCCACUAUCAACAUGUAGAUACUACAAGUCAUAUAUGUAUCAACUAGUUUGUGAGACAUGUAAUUCUUUUAUAGACGAUGUGUACAAUUGACUUUGUAAACUACUACUGGCUCCCUCUCUCAGUUAUGCUGUAAUACAACAUUAUUAUUUUGUGCGAUGACAUACAAUUUUUUAAUAUAUUCUGAUAUGUAGAUGAGAGUCAAAUUAUUUGGUAUUAGCA